UCUGCAAGAGAAAUCAACUAAUUUAUUUCUGCAAUCCAUCACUGUUGGUUGCCCAAAAUGUAUAUAAUUUUAGCAAGUCUGACCUAGAAAUAAGAGCAAUACAAAUGGCACAGAAAUCAAUCUUAAUACACUGAAUAUUUACUUUACAUUUAUUCUCAUGUAGUAAGUUUACAUUUAUAGUUUUAAAAUAAAAGGUUUCAAGUUAGUUUAGCUUGGGUAAGAAUUACGUGUGUUUAGUAAACUGCAAAGACCUAAGCAAACAAUUAAUCCUUGAAAAAUAAUUGGUUCAAAUGCUAAAAAAGAACGUAACAUCUAACAAGACAAGUUUUAGGAGAAGGCUAUUCUUAAAAUAUGGCUAAGAGAACACUAACGAAAACUUGGUUCUAACAGACAAAAGGCUUGUGGUGAAUUUAUAGUAACCUCCAAUAUUAUCUUAAAAUAUGGGCAUGUGUAAAGAGAUAAAAGACCAGUUGCAGCUAGCUUUAACUUAGAUACAUUCAAAGAAAAAGGCCCACACUGCCCUAACCCUAUCUGGUCUUAGCCAAGAUCGAUGGAAAGCUAAGAAAAGAGCAGCCCCAGACUGCCCAAAAUUGGUUCUUAGCUGAAGUAAGCAAUUGGCAAUGGCAUCACUUGUUUGUUAUACUGUAUAAAAAAACCCAUGUUUGCUAAGGGUAGUUAUCAUUCCUAUCUGAUCAUGCUGAUGCCAGUCAGGAUGAGAGAGAUGUCCCUAGGAUGGGCCUUUUCAGAGUGUAUUAAUCAACUUAUGUUUGCUACUGUAUAGAUGUAUUGAUUGCUUAUUGUUAUUUAGAUUUUUUAGAGCAAUUGUAUAAUUUGGCCUUUGGAUUUAAUAAAGGAAUUUAUGGUUAAAUGAA